rnacentral:rRNA from 1 species
CUCUUCUUGUAUAUUUUUAUUUGAAGUAUAACCUGCCCACUGAAAAUUUAUUUUGAAGGGCCGCGGUAUUUUGACCGUGCAAAGGUAGCAUAAUCAUUAGUUUUUUAAUUGGGAACUGGAAUGAAUGGUUGAACGAAGAAUAUACUGUUUCUUAUAAAUUAUUUGAAUUUAAAGUUUAAGUAAAAAUACUUAAAUUUUUUUAUGGGACGAGAAGACCCUAUAGAGUUUAAUAUUUUUUAUUAAUUACUUUGUUUGUUUUUAGGAAUAAUUUAUUAGAUAUUUUGUUGGGGAGAUAGAAAGAAUUAAUAAACUCUUUUUUUUAUUAAUAUAUUUAUUUAUAAUUUUUUGAUCCAUUUUUGUUGAUUAUAAGACUAAAUUACCUUAGGGAUAACAGCGUAA